UUCAGAACAAGUACAUCAACCCUUUUUACUACCCAUGAUGGAUGCUGUUCAAUCUGAUACAUUUACUUCAAAAAGACUAAGCAGAUGAUAUAUCCACCCAUCAAUGUUAGGUGAGGAAAACAUGUAAAACCCCAGCUCUUCACUGGUGGAGGACUAUCCAUUGGCAUCAAGUGAGAGCCUGAUAAACCAUUCCCCUGGCCUUCUUCUUGCUCUGACUAUGAGGAAGAAGCCCACACCUGCACAUGAAGCAAUGAAACUGAGCUACAGGUUCACCAAGUGAAUGAGAGGUCUACCAAAGACAUUAUGCAGCCUGAAACAGAAUAACAGACAAUGUCCCUCACCUACCUGAGCCAAAGUGCAUAUUAUUCAAGGCUGGUCAAAUAAUUUUGCAUCAAAGAGAAAAUCCCACAAAAAUAUUCUCUCCUCAGCAGUAAAGGGUAACAAUAAUGCAUUAAAUAAUGAACAAUGUGCCGCUGUUUGAUGGCACCCAAACACAUCUGCCAGAAACAAACAUCUCAUUUUGCAUAAUGAUAGGAGCAGCUCUUAUACCACAAAAAUAUUGGUGACAUCCAUUUGUUAGUGGCAUUUGUUCAUUCCUCCUUUGUCACCACUAUAUUUGGACUAAACGAGGAAACGCUUUGUUUUCUGCCCUGAAAAAGAUAAUCCAAUAACCCCCUUCCCAGGAAACCAUUGGAUUUUCUCUUCUUUGGCUCUUAAAUAAAUGGAGGAAGCUAGGGUUUAUAACUACGCUGGAGCUUGUAACAUUAGAAACACUCGGUGUGUUUGCAAGUCCCCAAACGCACAGCCUCAUUUGCUGCCCAAUCAAACUCAGUAGUUGUAAUAGUUACCUUGGCAGGUCUUGCUCUGGAGUUUAAAAUUCCCAACCUACAAUAUAUAUAGUUAGUCUUAAUAAAUAAAUGACUUGGACCAUGCAUUAUAUAUAUCACUCAAAUCCGUAAGGACACAAAUUAUGUAUAAUACAUCGGCUGUGUAAUUUAUUUAUUAAGCAAAAUGUGAAUUUUCCAUGCUUGUGUUUUGAGGCACAGUUUGUCACACACAGCUAAAUGAUGUAUUCUUAUUAGUCCCACUCAAUUACCAAGUCAUCCCUCUGUGCACUGCGUAUUUGUUAAUGAUAGUGCCACAGCGCUUGCGUCUACAAUACCUGUGAUUUUAGUGAUUCAUAACCACUCACUAAAACUGUGAAAAUGAUAAAUUGACUGCUGUUGAUUAAAUGCCGCCAACAGUAUGUUUCGUAUGUGUUUGUGGUUGGUAAGAAGUUAAAGAAAUAGCAUUGCUCCAAUCAUUUAAAUAUCUAAUUAAGCAGAGCUCUUGCUAGAUAUGGAGAAAGAAAGCAUUCAGUGGAAUGAAGGAGCAUAGCGUAUAAUGGAGGAGGAGGGGUGGCCUCUCCAUGUGGAGGUCUGCUCUGUGUUAAUACUGCAGGCCGUACACAAACAAUAAGGGGGAACAAAUACAGGACAGAAUGUUUUUAAAUGGGAAAAAUAAAACAGUAGAGAUCUUUAGCCUCACUGCACAGCUGCCUGUGGUUGAUUUGAUGGCUUAAGCUAACUGCCAAGAUUAGCAUAGUAAGGAAGACUGUGUCUCUGCCACCAAAAAAAAUCAGGUCACAAUUUGUGGAACUGGAGAAAUGGGCAAAUGGAGGAAUGGCUACAUUUUCAUGCCU